AGAGUUUGAUCCUGGCUCAGGAUGAACGCUGGCGGCGUGCCUAAUACAUGCAAGUCGAGCGAACGGACGAGAAGCUUGCUUCUCUGAUGUUAGCGGCGGACGGGUGAGUAACACGUGGAUAACCUACCUAUAAGACUGGGAUAACUUCGGGGAACCGGAGCUAAUACCGGAUAAUAUUUUGAACCGCAUGGUUCAAAAGUGAAAGACGGUCUUGCUGUCACUUAUAGAUGGAUCCGCGCUGCAUUAGCUAGUUGGUAAGGUAACGGCUUACCAAGGCAACGAUGUAUAGCCGACCUGAGAGGGUGAUCGGCCACACUGGAACUGAGACACGGUCCAGACUCCUACGGGAGGCAGCAGUAGGGAAUCUUCCGCAAUGGGCGAAAGCCUGACGGAGCAACGCCGCGUGAGUGAUGAAGGUCUUCGGAUCGUAAAACUCUGUUAUUAGGGAAGAACAUAUGUGUAAGUAACUGUGCACAUCUUGACGGUACCUAAUCAGAAAGCCACGGCUAACUACGUGCCAGCAGCCGCGGUAAUACGUAGGUGGCAAGCGUUAUCCGGAAUUAUUGGGCGUAAAGCGCGCGUAGGCGGUUUUUUAAGUCUGAUGUGAAAGCCCACGGCUCAACCGUGGAGGGUCAUUGGAAACUGGAAAACUUGAGUGCAGAAGAGGAAAGUGGAAUUCCAUGUGUAGCGGUGAAAUGCGCAGAGAUAUGGAGGAACACCAGUGGCGAAGGCGACUUUCUGGUCUGUAACUGACGCUGAUGUGCGAAAGCGUGGGGAUCAAACAGGAUUAGAUACCCUGGUAGUCCACGCCGUAAACGAUGAGUGCUAAGUGUUAGGGGGUUUCCGCCCCUUAGUGCUGCAGCUAACGCAUUAAGCACUCCGCCUGGGGAGUACGACCGCAAGGUUGAAACUCAAAGGAAUUGACGGGGACCCGCACAAGCGGUGGAGCAUGUGGUUUAAUUCGAAGCAACGCGAAGAACCUUACCAAAUCUUGACAUCCUUUGACAACUCUAGAGAUAGAGCCUUCCUCUUCGGGGGACAAAGUGACAGGUGGUGCAUGGUUGUCGUCAGCUCGUGUCGUGAGAUGUUGGGUUAAGUCCCGCAACGAGCGCAACCCUUAAGCUUAGUUGCCAUCAUUAAGUUGGGCACUCUAAGUUGACUGCCGGUGACAAACCGGAGGAAGGUGGGGAUGACGUCAAAUCAUCAUGCCCCUUAUGAUUUGGGCUACACACGUGCUACAAUGGACAAUACAAAGGGCAGCGAAACCGCGAGGUCAAGCAAAUCCCAUAAAGUUGUUCUCAGUUCGGAUUGUAGUCUGCAACUCGACUACAUGAAGCUGGAAUCGCUAGUAAUCGUAGAUCAGCAUGCUACGGUGAAUACGUUCCCGGGUCUUGUACACACCGCCCGUCACACCACGAGAGUUUGUAACACCCGAAGCCGGUGGAGUAACCUUUUAGGAGCUAGCCGUCGAAGGUGGGACAAAUGAUUGGGGUGAAGUCGUAACAAGGUAGCCGUAUCGGAAGGUGCGGCUGGAUCACCU
rnacentral:rRNA from 1 species